GGAAGCUUGGUUACAUCUCCAGCUGGCAACCGACCUUGGUGUCAUCCAUGAGGCUGCUUUUAGACCCACGCAGAAUGGAAGAGUUGUGGGGUCGGAAAGGCCUCCACCCAGAUUUCGGAAGAGGGCCUGGGAGGUCAGGCAGGGAGCCCCUGAGAGGGCAGUGUGUGCAGCUGUGAGUAGAAGCUGAAGGUGCAGUGGAGACCCCAGAAGUUUGCAGAAGUCGGGAGCGUGCACCCUCUGAGGAAAACUGCAAAGAGGGAGCGUAGCUGGCCCCAGAGAGAAUGCAUGAGAGCUACAACCACUGUCUAGUUGCAGCUUUGCCUUUCUACAAGUUUCCUAUACCUGAGCUAACUGAAUUGGGUUCAGUAACGUGAAAUGGGCAUCUUGACUGAUCUAUACAGCGCAUUGUUUCUAAUACCACUCCACAAUCAACCCCACCACUCCAAUCUCCAUCUCAGGGGCCAACCCCUAAGAAACCAACCCGUGACACAACAUCUAUGAGAAGCAAUCGAACUGUGAAAAUAUUA